UAAUAUUUACACACACACACAAAGCUCCCUCUCUCUCUCACUGAUACAAAAACCAAAACCCCCUUCUCUCUCUCUCUCUCUCUCUUCGAUCUAUAUAUUGUUCCUGGAUUUCGAUCUCUGAUUUUCGUGAUUCAAAUCCAAGCGACUGAAUUUUCCCUGACCUGCGAAAAUGCCUCUCAGGCUCGAAAUCAAGAGAAAGCUUGCUCAAAGAUCAGAGAGAGUGAAGUCCGUGGAUCUGCAUCCAACAGAGCCAUGGCUUCUAGCGAGUUUGUAUUCGGGAACUGUUUGUAUCUGGAACUAUCAAUCUCAGACUAUGGCGAAGUCUUUUGAGGUGACAGAGUUACCAGUUAGGUCAGCCAAGUUUAUAGCACGCAAGCAAUGGGUUGUUGCUGGAGCUGAUGACAUGUUCAUUCGUGUAUACAAUUACAACACAAUGGAUAAGGUAAAAGUAUUUGAAGCACACACGGACUACAUUAGGUGUGUGGCUGUACAUCCUACCCUUCCGUAUGUGCUGUCAUCAUCUGAUGAUAUGCUCAUAAAGCUUUGGGAUUGGGAGAAAGGUUGGGUGUGUACUCAGAUUUUUGAGGGGCAUUCCCAUUAUGUGAUGCAAGUAACGUUUAAUCCAAAAGAUACCAACACAUUUGCCAGUGCAUCGCUUGACCGCACCAUAAAGAUUUGGAAUCUUGGCUCCCCCGAUCCAAAUUUUACAUUGGAUGCCCAUCAGAAAGGUGUUAACUGUGUCGAUUACUUUACUGGUGGUGAUAAGCCAUACCUAAUUACUGGUUCUGAUGAUCACACUGCUAAGGUGUGGGAUUAUCAGACCAAAAGCUGUGUCCAGACUCUGGAAGGCCACACACACAAUGUCUCUGCAGUAUGUUUUCAUCCAGAACUUCCAAUAAUAAUUACUGGUUCUGAAGAUGGGACUGUUCGUAUAUGGCAUUCUACCACUUAUAGGCUUGAGAACACAUUGAAUUAUGGUCUAGAAAGAGUGUGGGCUAUUGGAUACAUGAAAGGCUCACGCCGGGUUGUGAUUGGUUAUGAUGAAGGAACCAUCAUGGUGAAACUUGGUAGAGAAGAACCUGUAGCUAGUAUGGACAACAGCGGAAAAAUCAUUUGGGCUAAGCAUAAUGAAAUUCAAACCGUGAACAUUAAGAGUGUGGUUGCAGAUUUGGAGGUUGCUGAUGGAGAAAGAUUGCCUUUGGCAGUUAAGGAGUUGGGAACAUGUGAUCUUUACCCACAGAGCUUAAAGCACAAUCCCAAUGGGAGGUUUGUUGUUGUUUGUGGAGAUGGUGAAUACAUUAUAUAUACAGCUUUGGCAUGGAGGAAUAGAUCAUUUGGUUCGGCUUUGGAAUUUGCUUGGUCAACAGAAGGAGAAUAUGCUGUUAGAGAAAGCACAUCAAAGAUAAAGAUUUUCAGUAAAACUUUCCAGGAAAAGAGGAGCGUGCGUCCAACCUUUUCAGCUGAGCGCAUAUAUGGGGGAGCUUUAUUGGCAAUGUGCUCAAAUGAUUUUAUUUGUUUUUAUGAUUGGGCUGAAUGCAGGAUGAUUCGGCGAAUUGAUGUUAAUGUGAAAAACCUCCAUUGGGCUGACAGUGGAGAUCUAGUGGCAAUUGCCAGUGAUACGUCAUUCUACAUCCUGAAAUACAAUCGUGAUGUAGUUUCUUCUUAUUUGGAUAGUGGAAGACCUGUAGAUGAACAAGGUGUUGAAGAUGCCUUUGAGCUUCUCCAUGAAGUGAAUGAACGUGUCAGAACUGGUAUAUGGGUUGGGGAUUGUUUCAUUUACAACAAUUCCUCCUGGAGGCUUAAUUACUGUGUUGGUGGUGAGGUAACCACAAUGUUUCAUUUGGAUCGGCCCAUGUAUUUGUUAGGCUAUCUUGCUAGUCAAAGUAGGGUUUAUCUAAUUGACAAAGAAUUCAAUGUUAUGGGGUACACAUUACUUGUUAGCUUGAUUGAGUACAAGACUCUUGUGAUGCGUGGGGAUCUGGAAAGGGCCAGUGAAGUCUUGCCAUCAAUUCCUAAAGAGCAUCAUAAUAGUGUGGCUCGUUUCUUGGAAUCACGUGGAAUGAUAGAGGAUGCUCUUGAAGUAGCUACAGACCCUGAUUACAGAUUUGAGCUAGCCAUACAGCUUGGUAGAUUAGAGGUUGCAAAGGGUAUUGCGUCAGAAGUGCAGAGUGAGUCUAAAUGGAAGCAGUUGGGAGAAUUAGCUAUGUCCAGUGGAAAGUUAGAUAUGGCCGAGGAAUGUUUAAAGCGUGCAAUGGACUUGAGUGGGUUGUUACUGCUCUAUUCUUCUUUAGGUGAUGCUGAGGGGAUAUCACAACUUGCAUCACUUGCUAAAGAGCAGGGGAAGAACAAUGUUGCAUUCCUUUGCUUAUUCAUGUUGGGUAAAUUGGAAGAGUGCCUUGAGCUUUUGUUGGAAAGCAACCGGAUACCUGAGGCGGCCUUGAUGGCACGAUCUUAUCUUCCAAGCAAGGUCUCGGAGAUAGUUGCAAUUUGGAGAAAAGACCUAAAUAAGGUUAAUCCAAAAGCUGCUGAAUCUUUAGCUGAUCCCGAGGAGUAUCCUAAUUUGUUUGAAGAUUGGCAAGUUGCUCUUUCUGUUGAAUCCAAAGUCACAGAGUCAAGGGGUGUUUAUCCUCCUGCAGAAGAAUAUAUAAACCAUGCCGACAGAUCACAUCUUACACUUGUGGAGGCUUUCAGAAACAUGCAAGUAGAUGAUGAGGAACCCCUUGAAAAUGGAGAUGCAGAUCAUGAGAAUGGAGAAGAACAGAAUGCAGAGGAGCUGAAUGCAGAGGAACUGAAUGCAGAGGAACAAAAUGGAGAAGAAGAGAGCCAAGAGGAGGCUGUCGUAGUGGAUGCAGAUUCAACAGAUGGUGCAGUACUCGUUAAUGGUAACGAGGCUGAACAAGAGUGGGGUACGAAUAAUGAAGGAACCCCGUCUGCCUAAAAGCAAUUGGUUGGGCCAGUGUGAAAAUCCAAAUUUUGUCUCCGUGCUUACGCCACAUCAGUAGGUUCCAGCUGUAUGGAUCUCUUAUAUAAAGGUUUCCUGGAGAAGGCUAUCAAGAAAUGAAUGUAGGAACUUGUUUCUGUUAUCAGACGGUGUGGCAUGGUAGUGCAUUGAAUUUUGUCAUUGGGCACAUAGUAUAAAAUGUUUCUUAGCUUCAGUUAAUCGUUUUUUUACUCUCUUUUUUAGCAUAUUCUGAGGUCUUUCCCUCAAAAUUUUUUGUGCCAUUGUGAAUGUAGAAAGAACUGAAGUAAUGAUUACUACUGAGAUUUUAUUUUUUUCUUUUCAUUGUUCAAAUUCUAGAUGUUUUGGGUUCCCUUGUUUGUUGUGGGAAUCCUCUUAUUAUAUACUCAUGUUGAACUGGAAACAUGCGGUACAGGAAAAAUAAUUUCUUAUAUUAUAUGCAAGCUUUUAUCUAAA